rnacentral:misc_RNA from 1 species
UUUUGGUUUUUAGUACAUUUAUCUUAAACAUUGCAAUGUAUGUUUAACAUAAAACCGUUUAACUUAAAAAGUUUUUUUACCUAUUUUUAUUUUCUAUUUUUUAGUUUUUAUUUCGCAUUCUGUUUAAUUCAUUUAGUGCUUCAUUAUUGCAAGGCCCAUCUUAAAUAUUGAGGUUGUAUAUGCACUGUAUUCUUCUUGUCAAGCCCUUUUAUUUGAUACCCAUAUUGGUGGGAUUGAUAAAAAAUUGUUAUCAGACAUUUGGUAGCGGCGGCCAGCUUAGAUUUCAAU